UCAAUUGUGAAAUUUAUCAUGAAUGUGUUAGAUUAGAUCUAAAAGAAUAUUUAUGAUUUAUUUUGAUUGAGUUAUUUUCUGUUAUGUAAUUAGCAAUAGGAUUGCUAUUUAUGAAAUGUGCUGAUUUAUUUGUGAAAUGAGUCAACAUAUUUAGUGAACAGAAAAUAAAAUUUUUCAAAUUUGAAAAUUAUUUUCGAAAUACCAAACCCUGAUCCAUCAGCCCAAAUACUUAAUUAAAAGAAUUAAGUGUUGUCUAGUAGGUCUAGAAUUAUGAAUUAAGACCUAAGACAAUUGCAUAAACUUGUGGGUC
rnacentral:lncRNA from 1 species